CCCCGUCUGGGCCCGCGCGCCCACCCCGUCGUCCCGCGCGGCCCCUUUAAGAAAAGAGAACGAGAGAGUGAGUGAGAGAGAAUCCCAACUCUCCCCCUCCCUCCCCUCCUUCCUACCCCCUCCUCCCUCCCCCCUCCCCUCCCCCCUCUCCCCGGGCGGCUCCGGCUCCCGCAGCGGGACGGACCCACCCGCUCAGGCUUUUCUCCGGCACCGGCAGCGUCUCCCUUCCCUCCCCGGUCUAUGGUGGCGGCGGCUCCUCGGGCGGCAGCGGAAGACGAGGCUGCGGCGUUGCCAUGAACAGUGGCGGCGGCCUCCCGCCCCCCUCGGCCGCCGCCUCCUCUUCCUCCUCCUCGCUGGCGGCGGCAGUGGCGGUGGUGGCCCCGCCGGGGGUCGGAGGUGUCCCCGGCGGGGCGGCGGCGGGAGUGAAGCUCAAGUACUGCCGCUACUACGCCAAGGAUAAGACGUGCUUCUACGGGGAGGAGUGUCAGUUCCUGCAUGAGGACCCGGCCGCCGGAGCUGCCCCGGGCCUCGGCCUCCAUAGCAACAGCGUCCCCCUGGCUCUGGCGGGCGCGCCCGGGGCCGGCUUUCCGCCUGGAGCGGUCCCGGGCGGGGGAGCCGGGCCGCCCCCCGGGCCCAAGAAGCCGGACCUGGGGGGCCCGGGGGCAGGAGCGGCGGUCGGCGGCGGAGGCGGCAGCGGGGUCCUCGACGGACCGCGGCUGGCAAUUCCUGGAAUAGAUGGAGGAGCUUUAACUGAAUCGAGUCUCACAGAUUCCUAUUUCAGCACCAGCUUUAUUGGAGUUAAUGGAUUUGGAAGCCCCGUAGAAACAAAGUAUCCCUUGAUGCAGAGAAUGACUAAUAGUAGCAGCUCCCCAAGCCUUUUAAAUGACAGUGCCAAGCCAUAUGCAGGCCAUGAUCCUCUAAUUUCACCUGCUUCAUCCUUGUUUAAUGACUUUGGUGCCCUCAACAUCUCUCAGAGAAGAAAGCCAAGGAAGUAUCGCCUGGGGAUGCUGGAGGAGAGGCUAGUUCCGAUGGGAUCAAAGGCACGAAAAGCAAAGAACCCUAUUGGCUGCCUUGCUGACAGGUGUAAAUCAGGAGUACCCAUCAAUAUGGUUUGGUGGAACAGAGUCACAGAAAACAAUUUACAGACACCAAAUCCUACUGCAAGCGAGUUUAUUCCUAAAGGAGGAUCAGCCUCCAGGCUGAGUAACGUGUCCCAGUCACAUAUGUCUGCCUUCUCUCAAGUGUUCUCUCACCCGUCCCUGGGAACUCCUGCUGCUGCUGCAUUAGCACCAGGAAUGUCACUGUCUGCUGGAUCUUCCCCGCUGCAUUCCCCUAAGAUCACUCCACACACUUCCCCUGCUCCCAGGAGAAGAAGUCACACUCCAAAUCCAGCAAGUUACAUGGUGCCUUCUAGUGCCUCUACACCUGUUAACCAUCCGGUUCCUCAGACUCCGUCCUCCGGCCAGGUCAUCCAGAAGGAGACCGUCGGCGGAACCACCUACUUCUACACGGACUCGACCCCGGCCCCUGUGAGCUCAGUGAGGUCUUUCAAAAAUUAUCACAGAACAGCUUGCCGAACAGAAGGUCAAAUAAUUGAGGUAUUUCCAAACUAUCAUAUUUAUCCCCCAACUGCACCUCACGUUGCUUACAUGCAGCCGAAAGCAAAUGCCCCUUCCUUCUUCAUGGCCGAUGAGCUCCGACAGGAGCUCAUUAACAGACACUUAAUAACGAUGGCUCAAAUUGAUCAAGCAGAUAUGCCAGCAGUCCCUACAGAAGUUGACAGCUACCAUAGCCUAUUCCCUCUAGAACCACUGCCACCACCCAACCGGAUACAGAAAUCAAGUAAUUUUGGCUACAUCACGUCUUGCUACAAAGCUGUAAACAGCAAAGAUGAUCUGCCGUAUUGCCUUCGGAGGAUACACGGUUUUCGUCUUGUUAACACAAAGUGCAUGGUAUUGGUUGAUAUGUGGAAAAAAAUUCAGCACUCAAAUAUUGUAACCUUGCGGGAAGUAUUUACCACUAAAGCUUUCUCAGAGCCUUCUCUUGUGUUUGCCUAUGAUUUCCAUGCUGGAGGAGAGACCAUGAUGAGCAGGCACUUCAAUGACCCGAACGCUGAUGCCUAUUUCACAAAGAGGAAAUGGGGUCAGCAUGAUGGGCCCUUGCCCAGACAGCAUGCUGGGUUAUUGCCAGAAUCUCUUAUUUGGGCAUAUAUUGUCCAACUGAGUUCUGCAUUACGAACCAUUCAUACAGCGGGUUUGGCGUGUCGAGUUAUGGACCCAACAAAGAUUCUGAUAACCGGCAAAACGAGGUUGCGAGUAAAUUGUGUCGGAGUUUUUGAUGUUUUAACAUUUGAUAACAGUCAGAAUAAUAAUCCAUUGGCGUUAAUGGCUCAAUACCAGCAAGCAGAUCUGAUAUCAUUAGGAAAAGUUGUGUUGGCUUUGGCUUGCAACUCUUUGGCAGGAAUUCAGCGAGAAAAUUUACAGAAAGCCAUGGAACUGGUGACAAUCAACUACUCCUCUGACCUGAAGAAUCUGAUUUUUCUCUUUUAGCUUCCAGCUGUUGCUUCUGAUCUUUCUGUGUAACCCUGGAUGAUCCAGUUUCUUUGUGGACUAGCCCUGUGGUAUGGAAUCGAGGGAUGGAGGCUGGGGCUGCCCGCCUCUGCUUUGUUACACUGCCCUAAGGGUCCUGCUUGUGACAGAGCACCGGAAGCCAGUGGUUACCUGGCUCCUUUUAAUAAUCAAAUACGAUGAUUUCUCUUGUAAAUAAAAACAUUUGUUUCGUAUAUUAUCACCACAGUGAUUUCUAGCCGUAGCUUGCCACACCCAGGUGGUUUUUUAAUAAUCGCAAGUUAUAAUUUUCCUUUUUUUUAAAAAAGUGAGAGUCAAGGGUAUAAAUGCAACAGGUUGGCCAUACGUUAAUAAUUAUUGAAACUGGGAAAUGGGGACGUGAGGAUUCGUUAUACAAUUCUCUCUCCAUCCAUAAAUGUUUGAAAAUGUCCUAAAUAAAAAAAUGGAUAGACACAAAGUUAUACUUUCAUACUAAUCAAUAACUAAAAUUUACAGAGCAGUAAACUAUGUAUCAGGUACUUUCGAACUAAUUGAUGUAAAUUCACCUAAUUCUCCCAAUAACCCUAUAAAUUAGGUAGCAUUAUUAACUCCAUUUUAGAGAUGACAAAACUGAGGCUUGGGAGAGGCAAAGGAACUUGCCAAAGUCACAUAGUUUAUAAUAACUCCAAGUAUGAGUAGUUAGAGAUAAAUAUGUCCGUAAUUACAGAUGAACAGCUAAGACAUGGAUUAUCCACGAGUUAAUAAUCAUUCAUUUAUUCAGCAAAACGAUGCCUACCCUAUGCCAGAUGCUGAAGGUACUUUGAAUAAGAUGAGCAAAAUUCCCCAUCUUCUGGAGCUUCCACCCUAAUGGGGAGGAGUUAAUAAACGUAUAAACUGGUAAUGUUUGCAGAUAGCGCCAAGUCCCGUGAAGAAAAUAGGAUAGAAUUCUAAGCAGAGAGUGACAUCUUGAGCAGGAGGCUGCUUCAGCGAGAAGGGUUGGGACAUGGCCUGCCUCUCAGAGGAGACGGCAGCAGGUGGCUGAUAAUCGUUGUGCUCUGACAGGUAACCCUUUGAAACGUGUAACAGUCUUCUGCCUGAGUUACAACGAUAGACGAGAUUGAAUCCAUCUUUUCUGAUGUGUGUUAGUACAUGAAGACUGCUCAGAAAUAAAUAGUCCCCCACAGCUGGUAAAUGAAAUCGCAGAGCAGGAGACACGUUUCCUGAAAAGCUUAGACUGUUUGACUUAUCAAAAUGAAAGGCCUAGUUUUAGUUUCAGAAACUACUUUUGAAGAGCAGUGGAAAAAUUUCCCCACCUACAGCCACCACGUCACCCUCAAAAAACCUCUUGUCUCCCACUAUUGCGCAGAGGGUUUGAGAAUGGAAAUGUGGUAAGUGUAACUCUACCCAGCUUUCCUUUCUCAUUUUCAUAGUCGUAUGAAAAAGUUAGAGAAAGGCACAUUUUUACAGUCUUCCCCAUAGGCUCUUAACGUUUUCCAGAGAAAAGAAAUGUAAUUAUUAAGCUUCUAAAAAUGAACUUGACUUGCAUGAAAAAAUUUUCUCAAAACUGUGCACACUAACAUUUGGCAGCAGCAGUGCCUGUGUGCUUGUGGGUUGUGUUGUUUUGUAAACUGCAUGCUUGGCAUUCAAGUGACCCUUCUUUAUUUUGGUUAGAUACUUGUUGACUGACCAAAACAGGAUGCGAAGUGUAAAUGACAUCAUGCCCAUGAUUGGUGCUCGAUUUUAUACUCAAUUGGAUGCUGCUCAAAUGAGAAACGAUGUCAUAGAGGAAGACCUUGCGAAGGAGGUUCAGAAUGGAAGACUGUUUAGGCUUCUAGCAAAAUUGGGAACCAUCAAUGAGAGGCCGGAGUUUCAGAAGGAUCCUACCUGGUCAGAGACUGGAGACCGUUAUCUGUUGAAACUCUUUAGGGAUCAUCUUUUCCAUCAGGUGACAGAAGCGGGUGCUCCUUGGAUUGACCUCAGUCAUAUCAUUUCUUGUCUUAACAAGUUAGAUGCUGGUGUGCCAGAAAAAAUAAGCCUCAUUUCCAGAGAUGAGAAGAGUGUACUUGUUGUGACUUACAGUGACUUAAAGCGAUGCUUUGAAAAUACUUUUCAAGAACUGAUUGCAGCUGCAAAUGGUCAGUUGUAGUAUUUGCCGAAAAAACAAACAAACAAAAACAGGCGGGAUAUGGCUGAGGAGCUUAACCUAGAGCAAAUUGCACUACAGCUGAACUGUUCUCAUCGUCUCAUGUCACGUCUGGGAAACAGGCAGAAGAUGAGCAGAGCUGCUUGCACUUGGGUCAGGUGCGCUGUUACUUGAAAGGAAGAAUGUUUCGCUUGCCCUGGCGCUGUGGCUGCUGGUGGGGCCACGUCCGUGAAGACCUGCUUUUAGCUUAAGGAGCCCCAUGAGGGGAAUGAUGUUCCAGUUUUCAUUUUUUCCACUUGUAUAUGCACUAAUUUUAAUUUUUUUAAAGACUUUUUUCGGAUCUUUGAACUUUUGCCACAUUGUAUACUUAUUAAGGGAAACAUUUGCAAAGACAUUUUGGGCAGCAUUUUUGUCACUCAGGGGGGCGGAAUGUGCUCUUCGGGGGAUGGGUUGCCCUGACCACCGUGAUUUCCUGGGAGUACAGUCUAGUGCUUGAUUCUCCUCAGAGUACUGUAUGCCAGCUCCGUAUGCCACCCGCUGUUACUUCAAGUGCAGAUUUGUGUUUGGUGUUUCCGUUUUGUGUUUCAGAACACACAAAGAGCACGACCAGUGCGUUGGUGGAUAUGAAUCCCCCUCCCCCCGCCCCCGUCGAUUUAAAUCUUCUCUGAAUGAGGGUCUGAUAAACAGUAACCGAAGGAGCCCGUGGAGCUCUUUCCUCCAAAUUCCGCCAGAGCCUUUUUAAAAAAGAGGCGUUUCCCUGCUAAUCAGAUGUAUUUCCAUGUAUGCCAUUUUUUUUAAUGGAAGAAAAUUCAGAAAUUGUGUUAAAGGCCUGAAGUUGAGGCGUCGGUUGCUUUAGGCUCUUGCCAGCCCGCCUUGUUUGUAUAAAGUUCUGUUCUCUGAACCACAGCUUUAUGAUGGUACUUUACACUGGAUGCAGACAGAGAGACGGAAGGUGCGGAAGGGGAGCGCGGCCGCCGCCGCCCGGCCCGGCCCGGCGUCGAGAGCUGCCUGAAGUCGUCGGCCUGAAUCUGAGGGAUAACAAUCUGCUGUGCCUUUGCAGCCUCUGCUUAGCCCAAAGUAACAGUACUUUUGAUAAUAACUUCACUAUGUGGGGUACUCCUGAGUAAGCCAGUCUCAGACGUUUGGGGUUUUCCUCCUCUUCGCUUUCUUACUCUUUGGACCCGUGGUUGUCGCCAAACUUGGGUAUUCAUGGAAUUUCUAGUUAAUGAAAUACCUAUACUUUGAUACUGAAGACUGCCAAAUACAUAGGAAUUUUCUUUCAUAAAAACCAGUCGUGGAGACUGUCCCUGCCCAGCACUGAAUGUUGUGCGAGCCCCGGGUGCUCGCCCUGCGCCUCCGGGGAGCGGAGCGCGUUGGAGCCGCGGAGGGUCGGGGGAGCCUCGGAAGCACUUGCAGCGGACGUUGCAGUCUUCGGUUUCAGUAACUUCACAGGUCCGUCGUUUUCGGAGAGGUUUUUAAUAGUUCUCUGUCCACUUUUUAUAAGCUUUAAAAUGAUUUUCUCUGCCUUGAGACGCGCGUCAAGAAAAAGCACCUCUCCCGCCUCCGAGAGCGUCGAAGACGAGCCAGGCGCGCGUUGCGGGCUCUGCCAAGUGUCUCCGGGUCCACGUCGGGUGGCGCCGCCCUGGCGCUGACAAGAAGAGCAGUUGCCGCGUUGCAUCGGGAUGGACUUUCAGAGAACGUGGCGUUCAGCCUUCGAGGGUAGUUCACGUUUGCCACCAUGAUGUUCUUUUUUACGUCAAAGGACUGCGACCUUGGAGACAUGGACAUGCGGAGUCUUUUAUCAUUAUUAGCUCAUGUAUUUGAGGAAGAGCAGCUGUCUUUUUAUAUGUUUUUUGACAAAUCAUAUUGUAAUUCUUUUGUACAAAAAAGAACUACUUGUAUUCUAGAAGAAAUAUGAAAUGCUUAAUUUAUAAGCGGGCUGGAGAUUUUUUCCAAUAUUGUUUUCUUUGAAAAUGAAAGGGGAUCAUCUAUUUUAGUUUUGGGGUCUGGGAACUUUUUGAAAAUUUAAUUUUUGGACCAAUGUUUUGUGAGAGCUAAGGAAGGGCAGGGGUAAAAUAGGGCUUGAUUUUCUCAUUCUGUCUAGACCAGCAAACUUCCCUCUGCAAGGCAGGUUCAGAUCACAAACCCAAGAACGUUCGCAUCAAAAGUGCUAGUUUGCUUCAGCCCCUAGUAACCUCAGGACUUGGUUUGAAUAUAAAAGGUAGACAGCUGAUAUGUUUUCAUGAGUAAAUAUUGUCAGCCAGAAAACAGUUGGUGUCAGGUAAUACAUAUUUUUUUAAGCUUUGUUUUGUAUUUAUUUUUCAUUUAGUUUUUAUUGGGAAUGGUUUUCACUAGAACUCUUAGUUCUGCUUAGGUGUUUUUUGGGGGAGCCCUCUUUUCCAUAGUGUAAUUCCAUUUAAGAGGUUGUCUGCAAGUCUUUGUAAUUCAUAGGAAGAUUUUAAUAUCUGAGCGUUCUCAAAUUAAGGAUAUAAGCUUCCCACACCUUCCUGUUACGACAGAUAAAAGCACAGAAAGGACAACCCUUGAAAUCAUGUACGUUGGUCAUUUCAGUCUUUUGUACCUGCUUUAAAUUCGGUUAGCUUGUUUACUUCAUUGUAAAUAUCUUUGAGGGUACCUUUGUAUUUUGCUUUUGACCUUGGCUCUGUGGUUUGGAUGUCAGCAACUUCCCUGAAAAGCACCAGUAUGUUAAGUUCUAAUGUCAUGAUCCCAGGAUGGGUUAUUCCUCUUGAAUCCAGUUUUCAGUCUCUAUGUGUACAGCAGUAUUUUUAAUAAAGAAUUACAGAGAGAA